rnacentral:rRNA from 1 species
CCUACGGGGGGCAGCAGUGAGGAAUAUUGGGCAAUGGGCGCAAGCCUGACCCAGCGACGCCGCGUGGGUGACGAAGGCCUUCGGGUCGUAAAACCCUUUUGUCAGGGACGAGUGAGGACGGUACCUGGCGAAUAAGUCUCGGCUAACUACGUGCCAGCAGCCGCGGUAAAACGUAGGAGGCGAGCGUUAUCCGGAUUUACUGGGCGUAAAGCGCGCGUAGGCGGGUGGGUAAGUCUGACGUGAAAGCCCCUGGCUAAACGGGGGGAGGGGGUGGGAUACUGCCCGGCUGGAGGGUGAGAGAGGAGAGGGGAAUUCCCGGUGUAGCGGUGAAAUGCGUAGAGAUCGGGAGAAAC